UGAAGCGGGAUCGGCUCAAUGUGUGAAUCUGGCUUGGGGUAGUUCCCUGGUCCGAGUUGUGCACUAUGGACGUUUCGUCUGCGUUUGUAAUGGCGGUGGAAGUCCGUUGAAACACGGCACCUCAGAGGGUCACAGUCCUGUACCACCUGCCUGCACUCGCGCCAAUGACAAGCGCUCCUCGAGUCGCGUAGUUUUGUAAUGCUGCGCCAAGUGGGAGGUAGAGACCUUCUAAGGCUAAAUAUGAUGACGUGACCGAUAGCACACAAGUACCGCGAGGGAAAGGUGAAAAGCAACCAUGAAAAAUGGGUUGAAACAGUAGUGAAAGCGCUACCGGGAUAAGGGCUAUCGGGUGCUGGGGCUUCUCGGGUGUGCUUCAGUGCUACCCUUGGAGACGGCCCGCGUGGGUUGAUUGGGGCGAUAGACGCGCUGUAGGAAUUCGGCUGCCUUCGGGCAGUGUUGUAGCCUGCGGUUGCUGAUCCUCCUGCGACC
rnacentral:rRNA from 1 species